AUGGGCGACGUCGCCGUGGCAGCGGGCGGGCUCUCCUCCCCGCCGACCCCGCCGCCUCCGGAGCUGGGCAUGGUGGCGCGCGCCGUGGAGCGGCUCGUGGCGCGGAACGACGCGCUGCUGCUGCUGGACGCGGAGCAGAGCAGCGGCGAGGGGAUCACCGGGAUGGUGGCGUUCGAGGGCACGGGGCCGCCGCGGAUCGGCGUGGCGCAGUACCUGGAGCGGGUGCACCGGUACGCGGCGCUGGAACCCGAGUGCUACGUGGUGGCCUACGCGUACGUGGACCGGGCCGCGCACCGCCGCCCGGCGGCCGCCGUCGCGUCCAAGAACGUGCACCGGCUGCUUCUUGCCUGCCUCCUCGUCGCCUCUAAGGUCCUCGACGACUUCCACCACGACAACGCCUUCUUCGCGCGCGUGGGCGGAGUGAGCAACGCGGAGAUGAACAAGCUGGAGCUGGAGCUCCUCGGCGUGCUCGACUUCGAGGUCAUGCUCAGCCGCCGUCUCUACGACCUCUACCGCGCGCACCUCCACAAGCAGCAGGCCGACGACCACCGCGACACGUCCAACAAGCCGGAUCAGGAGCCCUCGAGGGUCGACGGCGGCGAGGAGGGCCAUGACGACGACCGGAUCACCCGGCUGCCGGAAGGCGUCUUGCGGUACGACUGGAGCCAGCAGGCGCCGGCGGCGAACGGCGGGCGGCGGCACUCGUCGUCGCAGGCACCGUCGCGGUACUCCUAG
rnacentral:rRNA from 1 species